rnacentral:lncRNA from 1 species
CAACCAGCAUUUAAACCUAAUACAAGUUUCUGUGUAUUCAUUUGGGUCCUAACUCGGGCGGGCAGCUGGCAUAAAGCACACAUGUGGCAGUGGGGCUCAGCGGCUUUUGGCGGAAAGAUUUAUCAUAACACUCCUGCCAAACAUGAAAGAAUAGAAAAGCCUAGGAAAAAUUACACACUGGAAACAGGGACUACUUAUAUGAAGAAAAAUUAAAACAUUUUUCAUGUUCAACUGGAUUAUUUUGCCAUGAUGAUGAUCAGUUCCACCCAUUUUCCUUCAAAUCAUAAGUUUCUUCAUAUUAAUGCUGAAUAAUAAUGCAUUGUGUCUGAGCACUACACUCAUGCAUUGAUGGUCAUCUAAUCUGACUCCAUAACAGCUAAAGUGAAGAGUGAAAAAUUAAAGUAGUUAGGUUCUGAGAUUUUAUAGGAACUUUCAAACAGACUGGGCCAUUUAAAAUCCUCUCUGCAAAUGAGUAACAAGGUCCCCCAAUUCUUUCUACUGUGAUAUAUCACUUCCAGCUCCUCUUUAACUUCUUGAUACUUAGUCUUCCAGUGAUGACAUAAAAUCUCAAGAUACUUUUGCUUCAUAAUUGUCUUACAGUGAAGGGUAAAGAAUAGUUUUCUCAUUUAUUUAUUAGUCAUCUGUACUUAUUUUGAGAACUUCUAGAAUUGUCUUCAUUUAUUAAAAUGAUUCAUUAUUCUAUCUGCAUUUAUUUCUUGAUUAUUUUAUUAUAGUCUUUGAAUUUUACCUCUUAUCAGAAUAGCUUGCAAGGACUUUUUUCUCAAUCCUAUAGGAUGUCUCUUCACUCUUGUUUUCUUUGCUAUGUAUAAAUUUUGAAUUUUGGUAAAGUCCUAUUUGUCAAAUAUUGAUAUUUUCUGAGCUUUAUGAGCCUUUCUCAUAGUUACCUAUUCCAAUGUCUUGAAGUAUUUCCCCUAUUUCUGCUAAUAUUUUCAAAAUUUUCAGUUAUUAUAGUAGUUUUGAUACAUAUUUUUUAUAUAGAGUGAGAGAUAAGGGUCAAACUUUACUCUUUCCUGUCUGGAUAUCCAGUUUUCUUUCAAAAUUCCAUUUGGUGAAAUGCCUCUUUGUUUUCAACAGUGCACUUUGGGUGCCCUUAUUGAAAAUCAGAUGCCUAUAACUGUGUGAAUUUAUCUAUAUACCCUUUAUUCUAUUCCAUUGGUCUAUGUGUGAUUCCCUUAAAAGUCCUAAUAGAAUA